rnacentral:lncRNA from 8 species
UGCCUGUAACAUUGCAGUCAAAAACGUUUUGAAAAGACAAAAUGAAAACUUAGUCCACAUGGCAAUAAAAAAUGUUGAAUACAUAAAUAAAAAAAUAACAUUUUCAAUGUGUAGAAUAUUUAUGUGUCAGUUCAACAGCCACAUAAUCAGGGUGCUAAUUUGAUUUACACUGUAGCAGUGACUCUCAUCUCAGUUUUAGUGGCCUAUGAUAAGACUCAUAUAUCCCUGUGAGGGCCAGGGCACAGCCUGCAUUUGAAUGGAACACUAUUAAUAACCACCCAUGUAGAGAAUCCUCCUAAAGUAUGGAAACAUAGGCCUCUGUUUAGCUUUAGAUAACAUAGCCACAUCACUUACACGCUGCCUGUUCAGGGACACGUAGGCUACUGUAAAGCUCUUUUGUUACCAUUAUGAUAGUAGUGACUAUAACUGCAGCCAGGUUUCUCAGUUGAACGAGGAAGUCCAUCUCUCAAAGACAGACGUCUGUUUGUUAUCCAUGAGGAAAAAAACACAUCUCACUACAAAUGAAAAUAUGAACAGGCCUCUUUAUGACAUUGAAGGCUAGAGAGAACGAGCAGAGGAGAUAAGAUGAGAGAUUGAAUCACUGCCUUUGUUAGUGGAUUUGUGUGGCUCUGAUCUACAUCUUCCAUCAGCGCUCUUUCCAAUGAAAAGACACGGUAUGUUUCAGUUGGCCAGCAGUUUGUUUUAUUCAAUGCUCAGUGUAGGUGCUUAGGGAGCAGCUAGGCUAGGGGAAUGGGAAGCCACCCUUCAGAUACCUACGAAUGGAAUGGACAGGCAGUCGAAUGGGAAUUGGAUGGGAUGGGAGAGGUCUUUAACAAUGUGGAAUAUGUUGUUGCUGUUCCUCUUCAAUGCAGAAUUGGAUGUAAAAAGGGGAUGUAAAUAUUGGAAAUAUCGCAGUCAUCACUGUCUUCCAUACUCUACUUGGAGGAAACGCAUCGUUACUGUCCUCUCGUUCUAGUCAGCGGCACCAGGGCCCUGGUCGGCCCCAUACGGAGGAAUGAGAAAGCUCUCAUUGAUAAGCAGUAAUGAGAAGAUGAUGGGAAAGAAUUGUUGAGAAAUGUGCCGAGGUUUAGUUCCUUGGUUUCACCGACCCUCUUCCUCCCUUCUGCUUAAUCACAAAUUAUUCAAUUAAAUAUGGUUCAGUCCCAAAUGGCACCCUAUUCCCUAUGUAGUGCAUUACAUUUUUACCAUUUCCCCUAGGAGAAUACUGGGCUAUUUGGAACACUACCUAUAUCUCCUCCAGCAUCAGUACAGCUACUCCCUGUCCCAGACGUUUCCAUGCUAUUCUACUAAUACAGUUAAAUACAGUUUAAUCACAGUCACUGCAAUUAGUCCUAGCAGUGUGUCCAGACCCCCCCCCCCCCCCCCCCCCACACACAUCUAUACUAUCCAUCGGUCAAUGCCAGGGACAAUGAGUCAA